GCUGGAAAAGGUUUCUGCCACUACCUUCCUAGACUCAUCUAAGUGGAUGGACUCCAGGGGAUGGAGAAUGGAAGGCAGCAGAUGUUUGUUGACUUCUUGCUCUAUAUCGGGCACUGUGCUAGAUACCAUACACGCCAUCAACAUUUAGGACAGUAUGACAAAGGAGAAUGAAAGCUGUCUCUUGUAGAUAGGAUAUUUUCAGCCGUCAUCACCAUGGACUCUUUGAAAUGUACUACUUCAGAAAAGCCACAGUGACUCCCUCUGGGCCUCACCCACCUGAGAUGACAUCACGACGCAAAUCUAGGACUUACGCUCUUCAUACGGAUGGAAUGGAUCUAAUUUUAGCAACAUGAUGAAUGGCCC
rnacentral:lncRNA from 1 species